rnacentral:rRNA from 1 species
UACAGGGGGGGCAAGCGUUGUUCGGAAUUACUGGGCGUAAAGGGUUCGUAGGUGGCCAACUUAGUCAGACGUGAAAUCCCUCAGCUUAACUGGGGAACUGCGUCUGAUACUGGAUGGCUUGAGUGCAGGAGAGGAACGCGGAAUUCCAGGUGUAGCGGUGAAAUGCGUAGAUAUCUGGAGGAACACCGGUGGCGAAGGCGGCAUCCUGGACCGAGAUCGACGCUGAGGCGCGAAAGCUAGGGGAGCAAACGGG